ensembl:snRNA U6 U6 spliceosomal RNA
GUGCUUGCUUUGGCAGCACAUAUACUAAAAUCGGAAUGAUACAGAAAAGAUUUGCAUGUCCCUGUGCAAGAAUGACAUGCAAAUUCAGCAAGUGUUCCAUAUUAAA